GAGGAGGUCGAUUUUAAAAAAGAAUAUUAAGAAUAAAUUGGAAAUGCCUCAUAGAGUAACUCUGUGGUUUUAUUUUACCCACAGGACUAUGGUGAAAUAUGUGGGAAAGAACUACAAGACAGUU
ensembl:snoRNA